rnacentral:lncRNA from 1 species
AUGGCGGCUGUCUCAGAACGGCGGGCUGCCUCGGGAAUGGCGGCUGUCUCAGAACGGCGGCUGCCUCGGGAAUGGCGGCUGUCUCGGGAAUGGCAGCUGUCUCAGAACGGCGGGCUGCCUCGGGAAUGGCGGCUGCCUCGGGAAUGGCAGCUGUAUCAGGACGGCGGGCUGCCUCGGGAAUGGCGGCUGUCUCAGAACGGCGGCUGCCUCGGGAAUGGCGGCUGUCUCAGAACGGCGGCUGCCUCGGGAAUGGCGGCUGUCUCAGAACGGUGGGCUGCCUCGGGAAUGGCGGCUGUCUCAGAACAGCGGCUGCCUCGGGAAUGGUGGCUGUCUCAGAACGGCGGGCUGCCUCGGGAAUGGCGGCUGUCUCGGGAAUGGCGGCUGUCUCGGGAACGGCGGCUGCCUCGGGAAAAGCGGCUGCCUCAGGAAUGGCGGCUGCCUCAGAAACGGCCGCUGCCUUGGAAAUGGCGGCUGUCUCAGAAAUGGUGGGCUGCCUCUGAACAGCGGGCUACCUCGGGAAUGGCGGCUGUCUUGGGAAUGGCGGCUGUCUUGGGAACGGCAGGCUGCCUCGGGAAUGGCGGCUGCCUCGGAAACUGGCGGCUGCCUCGGGAACGGGCAGCUGCUUCCGGAACAGCCGCUGCCUCGGGAAUGGCGGCUGUCUCAGAACGGCGGCUGCCUCGGGAAUGGUGGAUGCCCUUAACCCCCACGAAGGUCGACAGUCCAGGGUCAAACUGCUGCACCUGCUGCAAAACGUUCAAGCAUUUCAGAUGGCUGGUCUUUGUUGGGGUGGGGCCCGCUGAGCCAGAUCACCUGGCUCCCUGCCUUCAGCCCCCUAUUUUUCAGGGGAAUGUGAGGCUCUGUCUCACAGGCCUUACAGGUGCCAGUUAAAACGAUCGCCCAGAUUUGUGAGGGUUUUUGUCCUGGAAGCCUGCGGCGCUUGUGGGCCAGUGGGAAUCUCCUUGCCUGUGGGCCGUAAAGACCAUGGGAGACGCGCAGUAUCUGAACCGGAGUGCCCGAGUAGCCAAAAAAGCCCCCAGUGGCCUCCCCUGGGUAGAAGGGGGUCCUCCAGUCUGCUGCACUUCCCAGGUGAGGCAGCGGCUCACCCUGCAUUGGCUCGCCCUCCCUGCGCUACACCCACCGUCCAACCAGUACCAUUGAGAAACACCUAGUACCUAGGUUGGAAAUGUGGCAAUCACUUUGCCGUCUGCGUCACUGUCACUGGGAAUUGUGCUCGGAGCCAUUUCUAUUCCGCCAUCUUGGUGGAGCUCUCUCAAUGUGCUUUUUUUAAAAGAUGAUGUGUAAAGUAGAAAAAAUUAUAGAUUUAAG